rnacentral:sRNA from 1 species
AAGUUCGCAAGAACUGGCAGUGGAGGAACAUAUGUGGGUUUAAUUCCCAUAGCUUCUAGCUGAUCAGUGUUUUUUUG